GGGAGUGUAUCGUUACCGGUGUAGCGCCCAGUCUUCAAAACUGGUGGCAGGCUGUGAGGUCUGCGGUAGGUUCGACCCCUAUGCGCUCCCGCCA
rnacentral:tRNA from 1 species